GGGGGUCCAUGUGAGAAGCUUUUCAAGUGAGAGUUAUUUUAUGCAAAGCAGACCCAAUGGGAGAGCUUAAACCUAUAGGGCAGUGAUCCCCAACCAGUGGCUCACAUUGCUCACCAAGCCCUUGGAUGUGGCACCCAGUGGCCUUAAAGCAGUGGCAUGGCAUUUCCUGUGGUCAACACAUGAUUGGUGUAAAUUUCAUCAUGCAGCGGAACAUCAAUCCGAAAGCAUACUUCUAAGCUAUGUAAAACCAGCUUGGAAAAGAAGCACAAAGCCAGUGUGCUGUAUUUGAUGAACUGGCCAGCACCUCAAACCAACUGAACUCUUGUGGGAACUGUAAGGUCAAAGAAAAUCCUUUACAAGCCAGUUACACAUCUCGGAAGAAGGCAUGAGUUGAAUUUUCCCCUGAAUAUCUUCCAAAACUGACAGCUUGAACGCCAAAGGCCGGCAAAGCUUGAAUUGCUGCAAAUGGAGGAUUCUUUGAUGAAUGUAAAGUUGCUGAUGAAUGAAUAGAACAUUUAUUAAAAAAAAAAAAAAAAAGGGGAAAAAUGAAUGUUAUGACAUUGGCAAUGUUUUGAUCAAUUUCUGAUCAAUUUAAUUCUACUUUGGAGAAUAGAAUUAUUAAUUUCUAUCAAAAACAUGAGCAUUUCUGGGUGAUCCAAAACUUGUUCAUUAGUAGAUAUAUACAAGCUGGUUACAGUCCUGCAUUGGGUCGUGUAAGUGCUGGUCAACAAUCUAUACAAAGUCUAGUGGAAUAAAGAGUUUAAUAACUUUCA